GUCGAACGCUGGCGGCGUGCUUAACCCAUGCAAGUCGAACGAAGUGGCGAACGGGUGAGUAACGCGUAAUCCACCUGCCCUUCAGAGGGGGACAACAGUUGGAAACGACUGCUAAUAACGCAUACUGAAGUAGGGGAUUGCGUCUGAUGCGCUAGUUGGAGGGGUAACGGCCCACCAAGGCGAUGAUAAGUAGCCGGUCUGAGAGGAUGAACGGCCACAUUGGGACUUAGACACGGCCCAGACUCCUACGGGAGGCAGCAGUGGGGAAUCUUCCGCAAUGGACGAAAGUCGGACGGAGCAACGCCGCGUGAGGGAUGACGGCCUUCGGGUUGUAAAGCUCUGUUAAUCGGGACGCGGUACCGGAAUAGAAAGCCACGGCUAACUACGUGCCAGCCGCCGCGGUAAUUC
rnacentral:rRNA from 1 species